UCAGCUGCUUGCUACCUUGGCUUCUUCCUCUUCACGAUGACCCUCCGCUUCUUCCUCUACCCUCUUCCUCACCAGGAACCUUCUUCCUCUUUUUUUGUGGAUACAUAAUGACUAUGGACUCCAUCUCUUCCUGCUCACUGUUGAUGAGGGCAUCACCGGCUACAAUGAUGACUCCCUUGAAACUGUUCACAGAAACCAAAUUCAUUAUGGAUUGCCUCUCAAGGUUGUCUCUUCCAAGAAACUCUAUGGUUGCAUAAGCCUCUUCAGUUCUUCCGAGAUCCUCCUCGGCGCCAUGAUUCUCCCUGCUCUUCUACUAUCUUGACGCAAUUAUCAAAAGGAUUCUCAAUUUAUUCUGCUGCACUUCACUUCACUUCGCUUUUUGGAUUGGGGUUUAGGGUUUGGCUUGUGCACCCAUCUUAUACGGUGCCCCUUUUUAACUCAAUUGAAGUGGUAAACUUUUUCCUUUUAAUAUUCUCUUUUCUCAUCAUUCAGAGUUUCUUCGUUUGCUUUUCUCUGCUAAUGGCUUGUCGGCGAUGAUUAUUGUUUCCAAUGGAGGAAAGUGGAUUACUUUUGGAAUUGAAGUUAGUUUCAGCCAUGGCUCUUGAUAAGCUCCUAGUUAAAGGAAACUACAUUGGAAGCGUCAACUUCCUCUUUUCUGGAGAAGGAAAGGGAACUGCAGUCUAAAAUUGAGGAACUGGAGGACAAGGUUGAGAAAGUCAGUCAGAGCAUUGCACUGCAAAAGAGACAUAAUAAUUAAGUACGUAGAGUAUGUUAAGAAAUUGGGACUAAUUCUAUUUGAAUUGCUUUCUGAAGCAUUAGGCCUUAAUCCCAAUUACCUUAAGGACAUAGAUUGUGCAGAAAGGCUUUUCAUGCUUAAUCAUUAUUACCCUCCUUAUCCUGAGCCUGAACACUCACUCUGGGAACAAGUGGUCAUUGGGAUUCUAGCUUCCUCUUCUCCUACAAGACCAAGUUGGUGGACUUCAAUUUUUCUAUGAAAACAAGUGGAGUGAUACAAAUUGUUUUAUCAAGUUAUGAAUAGAAGAGUUCAAGAGGAUCAAUCUUCACCAAAUAUUAUUCCUGUUCACUAUUUUAUACACCAAAUAUUAUUCCUAUUCACUUAUUUUUUUUAAUGAAAACUUUUUUGUGAGCUUAUGGAGUUUUGGUGUACAAGUUUGAUAUGAACAAGGCUUCUCAGUUGAUGUGUUGAUACUUGGUGCCUCAUAAAUUAGAUAUCAUUCCAUCACACAUAUGUAAUUUAAGUGUAUCAGAGCAUCAUCCAACAGAAAUUUGAGUUACUGAAUAUUGUGCGGUUAAAAGCCAACAAUAGUGAGCAUUUUUUUCAACUCAAUAAACUCAACUAAUCAUA